UGAACAUUCCAGUGUUCCAAGAGAUCAGAAAACUGCCAGGGAGUGAAGUUUCAAGGAAAAAAGAGGAAGUUUGUUUUGAAUGCAGAGAUGAACCACAGCGUCAUUCAUGCUGUUCAGAAAUCUGGUCAGAUCUCAGUUGACGCAACUUACAAUGCGAAUGAUAGUUUGACGAAAGUGAAACUGACACAGGAUGACGAAGAUGAAGAUGGUGAAUCUCAACAAUCAGGCAAGCAAAGUUUCUUCUUUGUUUAUUGUAAAACUUGCAAGAAACUAACACAAGGAAAAUUGCGAUGUCGAUGUUCAAAUUGCAAGGAAGGAAGCUUUGUUCUAUCACAGGGUCCAAAUGGUUGGGACGAUGUAUUGAUCAAAGGCCGAAUGCAGGGACAAUGUGAAUCCAAUACAAACUGUCAGGGAAAAACAGCUGAAUUUUAUUUCAAAUGUGGGAAACGUCAUGGUAGAUAUGAACAAG